CGCACCACAUUCACGCGCAUUCAUUCAUUGACUCACAAACACCAGCACGGACCACCUGAGUAUCGAAUGCACCACCGAAACAGGCAGAGCAAGGCAAAAGAAGGUAGGACAUUUUGCACCAACAAUCAGUCGGACCGGGCCACACUGCCUGGCUGGCUGGCUGGCUGGUUGGGGACAGUUUCAAAUAUUUGCUGUUUGUUGGAAUGUGUGUGCGCUUGUUUUUUUUUCGUGCGGGGCAUGCAACGUGCGCCACUGUGUUUACUAACAAACACACAUGCGCGCGUCAAUCGACCAGCGAAGAGAUUACCUGUACUACGCGUGUAUUGGUGAGUUGAGAUUUCCGAUCUCCGGCUCCGAUUGCAGUCGUCGUCGUCGUUGUCGUGGUCGUCGUGGUCGUUGCUACAAUUAAGAAUGUGUGAAAAAGAGCAUAAACGUCCGUAAAUAUUAACUAAUUGCUCUUGUUUUGCCCCCACUUUAGUUGAUCUGACGCAGAUAUUCCAAGUCAGAUGCGAAGGAUGGCACACCCAGCGUAGGAAGAUCGAGAAUUUGUUAAAAGCUUCGUUGGAAGUUUGUGUCUUAAGUCUUUUGUUUGCUAUCGGCGAGAACCCUCAUUGGUCGGGACAGUGUUGACAGAUCUUGGCGUCGGCUCGCGACUGCGGACGCUUGUAGACAAAUACUAGAAUGCGGGGUAGUUAAGGUUAAUCCGGUUGGAGUAGCGACGAGUAGGUUUGUCAGCAGGCAUACGCCUGCUAGCAGCCAUCAGACUCCGGAAAUUAUCCAGCUGGAAAACAGACCCCGUGGUCAUACUAAAAUUUGGAUGGGCUUCGGCCGCCGGAAUUAACGGACUACUGAGUGCCAACCACAUCCUGCAAAUCCCUAGCAGGAAUCAACGACCACAGCACUUACUGCAUUGCUACACUGGAGGUUCUAAAAUGGAAACCGAAACCGGAAGGAGAGUUUACUAAGAACAAAUAGGAGUAAAAAAAUCUUUCCGCCUAGCCUCUUCCAAACCGUACUGCC